rnacentral:lncRNA from 1 species
UCAGCCCUUUGUAAGUUACCAGGUGUCAAGAGCAGCCAGGAGACUCCAAAUGCCAGCGGAAAGGUUCUCUGCCUGGUCCUGACGAGGAGCCUUUGGCCAUAGGAGGGUCGGCCGCAUCCUUACCGGACUUGCUAACGUUCUGAGGGCUCGCAACUUGAAGAGGAGCGGAGCAGCUCAGCCCAUUUGGCUGAUUUCGGUGAUGUUGUUUUAAGGAAGCACUUCUGGACCUGUGUGCGCACCCUCGCUCCGGCAGACUCAGGCACCCUGGAGCUGUAGGGAAACAGGCGAGCAGGCCCACAAGUGAACUUUGGGCACAGCGGUGUGCAGAGAGCUCUGCGUGUUUGGCAGGCAGCGAUAUAUUCAAUAAGAAUAUGAGAACUCCUGCACUCCUGGAGACCACAGGAUCCAUGCUCUGGGCUGGUCAUUUUAGGCCUUUGUGCAGAGUAUUCUUUCCAGUCACAUGCCCUGUGUGAUCCUCUCCUUCAGCUGUUUUCCCAAGUUGUUUGCUCUGAGGGGGGAGUUGCUGCAGGAAUUGCUGGGGAGGCCCCGACAGCGGGACGUGAAAAAGACACYUUUGACUACAUCCAGCUGAAGAAAUGUAAGCCAAAGGAUCAGAGUAAAUAACUGCUUGUCUAGGUUUGCUACCUAGCAACACAUUAUCAGGUUUUUUUUUAUGAACAAUCCUACUUGCUCAAGUGCAUAUUCAUUCUGUGAAUAUUAGUGCAAAAACGUGUACGUUACUGAUCCUUUAAAGCAAGUCCAUGGCACUGGGGUAGCAUGUGUAGUGAAGACUAAA